UGAGACAUCAUUAUGUUGUGGCGUACCAGGAAGAGUCCAUUGUGAGAGAAUCCUAUUCUCUUUUAGAUGUGUCAGAAAUUCACCAAAAAGAUAUUCACCUCCUCGAUAGAUCAAAGAGUUUUAAUACUCUUUUCAGUUUAUUUCUCUACCUCAUUAUGGAAUUAUUUGAAUAUUUCAAAAGAUUCAGACUAGUUUUUCAUUAAGUAGAUAUAUCCAUACCUA
rnacentral:lncRNA from 1 species